GUUCCGAUCUUCCCUGGGGGCUUGCUUUUUUGACCGCCUUCCCACUGCAAAUCUCCAUCCUGACUCUCACUGACUGUAUCAAAUCAAAAAGAACCGAGAGGGUGGUAAAAAAGGGGGGCCUGUUGAUGGUCGCUGAUGCCUCUAGUGCAGCGUAAGCUUCUCCAGAGAGGGCUUUGUCACCUCUGUGUCUGCAAAGCACCCUGCUAGACAUGGAAGGAAUGAUUUGGUGCCAGCCCCACUGACUUAACUGAAGUUUAGGUCCAGUCGGACCCUGUAAAAAAGGUGUGGAAGAUUUACACACUGCAGCAGCAAAAUUGUGCAACGCUGGCAUAAGUAAUCUGUUAUGACAGCCCCUGAGGGAGUAACUCCUGUUGGCAGGAUGUGUGUAAUCCCGGCAUGGUCUGAUGCAUUGGUAACUGCACCGUAACAAUGGAAACUCGAGCUUGGCCUUGGGUACCUCACGGCUCGGGUUGGCGGGCUCAGCUGUGUUGGCAAGGCAUAAGAAACGAUGGACUUCUGCAACUCUUCUAUGCCAGGAAAGGGGAGUGAUUCUGUGUGAUUCACUUCUUGCUUCCUUGCUUUGCAUCAGCCUGGUAGUACAAAGGGAGGUGGGAAACAGCCUGUCUCCUGAGCUGGCUGCCUGCACCCUGGGGAGCUCCCGGCCGGCACUGAGCUGCCACGUACCCCUCAGCGCACGGGAAGAGGAAAGGCGGGGAGGGAGGUGGCCAAGCCCGUGGUGCUCCCGUCCCAUCCCGUCCCCAGGGACACCAGCUCUUUGGGAGAGCGGAGCAGUCAUCAGGCUAUGACUGGCUUUUCUGAGACAUCUCUUCCCAGCUUGGGCGUGGCAGAAAAUCGGGCUCAGUGGAGUUACACCAGUAUGCGUGAGAGCAAAUUAGGGCUCUGAAUCUUUAGUUUCAUUGUUUCGUGUUGAUGAUGCAAUAUGACUAAUUUGUUGGAAUAAUAGCACUGCACUCAAAUAUGCCCCUCUCAGAAAAAGCUUCCCUGCAGGCUCAUUAAGAGUAACCUUUUUUAAAAAACGAAUGCAUUUGCCUUAGUUCCUGAGAGCAGAAUAGCUCUUUAAAGUCGCAGAUACCCCUUUCAGAUUAUACCGUCUUGCUAAUGUAUUAUAUAAAAAUGUUAGGUGGCACCAUGCUUCAUUUGGAUGGUGCUUUUGGACAGGCCAUUUCUCCACCCUUCCCCAAAAAAUGCAUCUAAAAUCAUGGUUUUUAAUGGAAAUGGCCUUAUUUCUACCAGAUGUUCCCUCCAGUACCAAGGCUUGGGGUUUGCUGGCUCGGGACUAUCACUGUGCAAGGUGCUGGUAGUGCCAAGACAUUGAGUUAAAGGUCUGAAUUAAAGCAAGCAGAUAUUUGACUGAAAAGAGAUCCCAAGAAAACACAGAACAUUUCUAACCAGUGUUCAUAAAUGCAACUGAUGGUAAAGGAAUCCUGCCUUUGAACUGAUUGCUCUGAUCAGAUUUGGUUUUAAUUGAGUUCAGACUGUAGAAAUGAUUGGGGUUUAUGUACUUCCAGUUGGGAUCAGUGGUGAAUUUUGACAUUCCUCUUCUCUGUAACGAUUGUGUCAAGUAUGUGAAUUUCUAGCAUAUUUUUCUUUCUUUGGCAUAGGAAGAUGAGAACAUCUAUAUUAGUCCACCUCACCCAAAACCCAAGGGGCCAGAAAGGCCUUACACACGGGUGUCCUCUUACAGGUUCAGUCUCUGUGAUUUUUGCAGGUCUGGCAAAUCUAGCCCCAAGUGUUAAGCAUGGGUUUCCUAGGAAAGCUGGUGACUGGAUGAACAUGAAUAAAAAUGGCAUGAAGUGGCAAAUGUUCUAGUACAGUACAAUAUCAGCUUCAAGAUUAAAGGAAUUCCUUUCAACAUGGAAAUAUUUUGGGAAUGCCUGAGACAUUUUCCAUUGUCCUCAUAACAGUUAAUCUGCCUCACUGCUUACCAUCAUAUUUCAAUUCAAGAAAUGUAUACGAUUAUAUUAGAAGAUAAGAGGUACUAGGAAAGAUACCAUAUUAAACUGGUAUAUUUAUUACGUAUACCUACACAAUGACUUCAGGUUUUGAGGAGAAAAAGAACAAGUAUAUACAUUUGAAUGAAGCAAUAUAGCUUACAUUUGUCAGCAAAGUUUGCUGCAUUGAGCAAAUAUUUUCUACUUCUUACAGAAAAUCUGC